GGUCGCGUCGCCAACGGUUCUCCGCGGUGAGCAACAACGUCGUUGAAAACCAACGGCGCUGCAACGCCUCUCUGAAUAAAGUGAACGCCGAACCCGCUUGUGCCCUUCCGAGAUUCCGCGAGGAACGGGACCCACCCCGCCAGCUGGACUCCUGGGAAAACCGGAGGACCCGGAGAUAAAUCCACGCGACCACAAGGAGAGAGAGACACGCAAGCUCCACAUAUACAGACUGUUUGCUGCUGUGCUCACGCACCACGGAUCUCCCGUGUAAAGCCACGUGUCACCCGGAGGGGUAGUGGGGAGGGUGACGCAAGGGCUUAUCAAAGUCCAAGAGACGGGGCGAGGGGCACAGGCGUGUGUGCCUUACACGAUUUCAAGAGAGCAACGCUUGCUGGAGAGUUGUUGCUGCUGUGCUCACGCACCACGGAUCUCCCGUGUAAAAUAGCCGGGCGAAUGUCUACUGAACGGGACCGUCAUCCGUGGAACAAAUCAGCUGAACACUCAAGCGCUAGGUUUCCCUGUGGGUCCCUAUGUAAAAUAUCCAGGGAGCUGGCCAAAACGGGUCCCAUUCGUGUUACAAAUGAAGUCAAACUCAAAAGAUGCAUCGAUGCGUACGUUGAGAGAUUUGGUUGGAGGCGUGUAGGGGCUUUGAAAUAAAAUGCUGUUGUUCUCUGUCUCUGGUCGUUUUUGCGGUGGGUGUCUGUUAAUGGAAAAUCUGUACGUGCCUAAUGCGAGAAUAACUCCACUCCGCAUCUCCACACUUUAAAAUAACAUGAUUUUAUUAUCUUAGUCCCCUUCGGCCUAUUGGCCUUUUAAAGACCAUUCUUUCAAUUUUUUUCAAGGGGAAUUUGUUGAAGGAGGCAAGCUCUACACUGGUUUAGACCUUCAUGGGUCUCGUGCGCAUUACGGUUUGCCCAGCACAGGAGAACUCUUGUCCACGGCACCUAAUAUCUCCGUCGCUGCGAUUAUACGUGCUAGCUGUCGGGUGUGCAAACACUUCGAUUACCGGUGAGAAUAUUUCCUCCUACCAUGAACGAUUACACUGGUCAACACACUUUUUCUGGCAUAAGGUAUUCCAACGGUAAUAAGGUAAUUCUGGGGUGCUGAUUCCAAAUCUGGCAUCAGUUUUUGUCUAUCACAUCAGGUUUUUGAGAUAUCAAAUAUUGCAUUUUCAAUAAAAACUGCAGAAGAAAAAUAUUAAAUAAAUGUGGAUAUUUACAUAAAAUUAUAUUAUAAACACACUAUCCUAAAAAUACAGCACCAUAUCUUUAACACUAAAGCAGUCACUGACUCGCAACAACUUGCAAUCAUAAGUGACAAAGUUAAUUUCGGGUAAAAUCAAUGAAAAUGGGGUAUGCCGAUAGCAUAAAAUGAGAUGUGAUGGAGCAAAUCUGAGAUCAGAUUUGGAAUCAGCACCCUGAAAUUAGUCUAAAACAGCUGCAAAAGUCCAGGCCAGAAAAAAAAAGUUUUUUUGUUGACCAGUGUUAUCCGCGAUUACAUCCAGAAUGCAUAGCGAAGAGGCUUCCUAAAUACUCGCGAUUUUUCGGCGGAGAAGAGGAGGUGUGAGCAACAAUUUGCUCCUAUCAUCCGUGAUUGUUUUUUUCGCGGAUAAAAGGAAUCUCCGCGUGACAUUAAUCUCCUUAACCGCAGAUUAUCCGCUAAAUUUAACUCCGCGCAGAUGAGAGGAAGUAAAAUUGCCUAUAACCGCCACGGAUAAUCGGAUCCGCAAUAUUGGUGUGCCCCAAAUCAUCGCGGCGAAUAAGACGAGUUUUUCCAAUGCGAUAUUUGAAUAUGUUUUCACGCUCCUCUGU